CCUACGGGUGGCAGCAGUGGGGAAUAUUGGACAAUGGGGGGAACCCUGAUCCAGCCAUGCCGCGUGUGUGAAGAAGGCCCUCGGGUUGUAAAGCACUUUCAGUGAGGAAGAACGCCUGGUGGUUAAUACCCAUCAGGAAAGACAUCACUCACAGAAGAAGCACCGGCUAACUCCGUGCCAGCAGCCGCGGUAAUACGGAGGGUGCGAGCGUUAAUCGGAAUUACUGGGCGUAAAGCGCGCGUAGGUGGUUUGAUAAGCCGGUUGUGAAAGCCCCGGGCUCAACCUGGGAACGGCAUCCGGAACUGUCAAGCUAGAGUGCAGGAGAGGAAGGUAGAAUUCCCGGUGUAGCGGUGAAAUGCGUAGAGAUCGGGAGGAAUACCAGUGGCGAAGGCGGCCUUCUGGACUGACACUGACACUGAGGUGCGAAAGCGUGGGUAGCAAACAGGAUUAGAUACCCGUGUAGUC
rnacentral:rRNA from 1 species